GGUAAGGUGGCCGAGUGGUUAAGGCGUUGGCCUUAAGAAAUGUUGCUUAACACCUUAAGAAACCCAAUGACGAGAGUCUCCAGGGUUCGAACCCCUGUCUUACCA